UUCCAUAGAGAGGAGGGUCACAUGGUCAGCUGAUCCUUCCUGAGUUUUAUAGUGAGUUGAAGACUGCACCACUCACAUGUGUCAGUGAACGCACCAUGACUCUGGGCUGCACCAUCCUCAUCUGGACACUGGCCUGCUGCUGCUUCACAGGAUGCAGUGGUCAGGUCACAGUCACUCAGCCUCCAGUGCAGAUGUUUACUCCAGGAUCCACAGUCACUCUCACAUGUAAAACUAACAAAGAUGUUUAUCACAAUGGUGGGUCUUCUUGGGAUAUAUUCUGGUAUCAGCAGAAACCAGGUAAAUCUCCAAAGCUCUGGUUAAAACUUGUUACACAACGUGUGUCAGAAACUCCAUCUCGGUUCAGUGGCAGUGGGAGUCACAGUGACUUCUCUAUGACCAUCACUGGAGUUCAGGCUGAAGAUGCAGCAGUUUAUUACUGUCAGAGUUUCCACAGCAGCCAAGUGUUCACACAGUGAUUUGUACUACAAAAACCUCCCUCAGUGAGUCGUUCAGAGUGAGACCAGAGCAGGAAACAACUGCAGCUGCUCAAGAGGAACUCACAUCACUGAUCUGUGUGUAGUUACACCAAACAUUCACCUUUAUAUUAUUUUAAUCUCUCAAUCUGCAUUUAUUAGUCUCAAUUGCCUCAUGUUGGCAGAAGGUGAAAAUGUUGAUUUGGGUCUGGAGUUUCACUUUAUCUCAGAAAGCAGUCACCAUCACAACCAACCCACCAGUUCAACCCAUCCAAAUAAUAUUACAUGUGUUCAUCUUUAUGUAAUAACCUUAAUUUGGGAUUUUGUAGCAGGAAAUGAUGAGAUUUACACACUUACUGAGAUCACGUCAAAAGCAUCUACUUUGUUAGAAUGUGUAUGGUUGAGAAAAAAAAAACACACAUUAAAUUCAAUCAAAUGAAACAUUUAAAAUUAAGAAUAGUUACAAACUUGAUUGGUAAGUUUGGCUGUUGUUUGAAUUUAAAUAUUGAAUAUUAAUGUAUUUGCUUUACUAAAUGAUCAGAGAGAUUCAAAGUUACAAAUA